UCUUACAGAAAUUCUUAUACGGAUGAAAUUCAGUAUUACUAAUAUAUAACGUAUAGGUGACCUAUACAUACCAAACCUAAUUUGAGGCAUUUGAGAGAAGCACUACAUGACCCAUUUGAUAGAAAACCAUGGUAAAUAAACAAAUUAGAUGCCUAAGAUGCUAAAUCAUCUCAAUUUGGCUCCUUUUUCCUUCACAUUCAGUCCGUCUUUGUUAAAAUUGAUCGAGUCAGCUCACUAAUAUAUUUUUUCUCCACAAAUUAAGGUUAUUGAAAAAUAUGAAAUAGUGCUUAUGUGGAGCAAUAAAGCUGGGAGUAUUGCAAAUGUGGAGAAAAAAAUAUACUGAUGUUUUAUGUAUACAACGAAGGUAACAUUAUUGGAAGAAGAAAGAUUUGCAGGAUAUUAUGAGCUUUUUAUUUUGUUUAAUAUUAUGUAGGUCUAAUUAUUUGUUGUGUAAGAAUUUUCUAAAGUAUUUUUUAGUUCAUAGAAGUGAACAUGUACAACUUUGUUAGCCAAAAAAAAUAAUAAUAUGGGCAGAUUUAG